GGCUGGUUAGCUCAGUCAGCUGAGCAUGGUGCUGACAACACCAAGGUCCUGGGUUCGAUUCCCGUUCGGUCC
rnacentral:tRNA from 1 species